UUUUUCCCUCCAUCUUUUUUGUUGAAAAAGAUGAUACAAAAAAGCCAUUUAAACGCGGGGAGGGGGUGAGUUUAUGUUUGCGAAGUGAGAUGGAGUAAAGUAGGUCACUUUUACUGAGCUUUAAAAUUGAGCGAGGCUUGGAGGGGGGCCCGGGGCCUGUGGAAAGAGUCGACACAGCCAAGGCAAGCGUCGAAGGGAAGGGAGAAAAUGGAGGAUUCAUAACUUCUUCAUACCCCCUCCUCCCCCUCCCACCCUCCAAGAACUCGAUACUUUGAGGAAAUUAGAGCUACUUUUUCCUCCGGUUUUUGCUCGAUGCGGUUAUUCACUCCGCUAUGGUAGGCGAGAGGGGCGCAACUUCCGGCGGGUGCAUCAUGGCGGCCUAUGUGACGGACGAGACCGGGAAAUAUAUUCCUGCAUCUCAGCGCCCUGAUGGGACCUGGCGGAAACCAAGGCGAGUAAGGGAAGGAUAUGUCCCUCAAGAGGAGGUGCCAGUAAUUAUCUGGUGACAUACGGCUAUAUGGACAAACCAAUUGAGAUGUCAGAUAAACCAAUGGAGCAAGCGGAAGGAGUUCAUCGAAGCACUCAGGUCCUUGCAGGCGAUGUUCGGCCUCCCUGUCACUAGAGUUUUGGACAGAAACACACUGGAAAUAAUGAGGCUGCCCAGAAGAGUGAAGGAUACUGUUAAUCAUAGGAUUCUAAAGUUUUCCAUUUUAGGUAGGACCCUCACACAUUUCUUCAUCCCUGAGGAUAGGCGGGCCUACUUUGAUGAAGGUGAGACCUGGACACAAGUAACAACACAAGGGACUAACCUGAGCUUGGUUGUGGCCUAUGAGAUUGGACACGUCCUCAGACUUGGCCACUCCAAGGUCCACAGUGCCCUAAUAGCAUCAUUCUACUCUGGGUACAACCCAGCUUUCCGGCUACACUCAGAUGACACAAAAGGAAUACAAGCUCUUUUUGGUAAAGAAGAAUCUGACAACGAGCCCAUCAUCUUGGCGCUGCCACCGCAUCAGUGCCACCAACCAGCGGAAACCAGAUCACUGCAUGGCAGAUCUCAACGUCUUCAUUCUCAGCUCAAGCCAGUAGGGCUAUACCUUCAAAGGCCAUUAUGCUUGGAUUGUUAGUGACAACCAUGGCGCUAGAUAUCCCAUAAGAAUCAACCAACAGUAGAAGGAACUACCUGGAAACCUGGAUGCUGCCAUUCGCUCACAGUUCACUGGGAGAAUGUUCUUCUUUAAAGGUGAUAAAAUGUGGAGUUACCAAAACUUUGUUCUGCAAAAAGGAUUUCCAAGAUUGGUGAUGCUUUACAAUCUGCCUCCAAGCCCAGAUGCUGCCUUCCAGUGGAAGGGCAACAGAAAGAUUUUCAUUUUUAAGGACGAUGGUUACUGGCAGUGGGAGGCAAACCACUGGAACAACCUCAGCAGUUCUCCAAAGAAUAUUGGCAACCUGUUCACCAUCAAACCUCGAUACUGCAAUCACUUGGAAAAAUGGUGAGAUUUACUUGUUCAUGGGGGAUAAGUACUGACGUGUCAACAGUCAGUUACUCACAGAACCAGGAUACCCAAAGAGCAAGUCCAAGAUUUGGAUGCAGUGUUUGUAACAGGGUGACCUGUACACAUUGAUUGGUUCAAUGUUGAAUAUCAGUCAGUCAUCUGGGGGGGAAUCACAAAGGGGCCACUGAUGGAUAUAAUUUCAUACAUGGAUACCUUUUGCUGGAUUCGUGCAUUGGAUAGUUUUUACCAUGAAGAAGACCACAACUGAGAACGUCUCGACACGUUUGAUCUCUGAAUCUUAACAAGCAAAAACAGGAGACAUCUUUGAUUACUCAUUCCUAGGAUGGAUUCAGUGCCAAUACUCCAGAGGGAAGAGGCCCAGUCAACAGGCUUCAACAAAGACAAGGAAUUUGUUUCUCCUCGAUAUGUAAAGUCAUCAUUUUGUUGGAUCAUUAAAAAAGGAAAGCUGGACAAUGGUUACUGGCAGUGGGAGGCAAACCACUGAAACAACCUCAGCAGUGCUCCAAAGAACAUCGGCAACCUGUUCACCAUCAAACCUCGAUACUGCAAUCACUUGGAAAAAUGGUGAGAUUUACUUAUUCAUGGGGGAUAAAUACUGACGUGUCAACAGUCAGUUACUCACAGAAACAGGAUACCCAAAGAGCAAGUCCAAGAUUUGGAGGCAGUGUUUGUAACAGGACAACCUGUACACAUUGAUUGGUUCAAUGUUGAAUAUCAGUCAGUCAUCUGGGGGGAAUCACAAAGGGGCCACUGAUGGAUAUAAUUUCAUACAUGGAUACCUUUUGCUGGAUUCGUACAUUGGAUAGUUUUUAUACCGUGGGGAAGACCACAACUGAGAACGUCUCGACAUGUUUGAUCUCUGAAUCUUAACAAGCAUCAACAGGAGACAACUAUGAUCACGCGUUCCUAGGAUGGAUUCAGUGCUGGUUCUCCAGAGGGAAGAGGCCCAGUCAACAGGCUUCAACGUUUAGGAUACAGAGCGAUGUACUGGAAUAGAAAGACCACAUUCAUGCCUGGAGGACUGGAGAUAGAGGGACACACUAGACACUGGAGCAGGGUAACAUCGAAGCACUGCUGGGCCUGAAUGAGGACGAUGGUUACUGGCAGUGGGAAGCAAACUGGAACAACCUCAGCAGUUCUCCAAAGAACAUUGGCAACCUGUUCACCAUCAAACCUUGACGCUGCAAUCACUUGGAAAAAUGGCGAGAUUUAUUUGUGGCAAAAGGUCACUGACAUGAAACAUUAACUUUAUUUCUAUCUCUCCACAAAUGCUGCCUGGCCUGUGGAAUGUUUCUAGCAAAUUCUCUUUUUAUGACGCAAGAUUUGCUUAUUCAUGGGGGAUAGAUACUGACGUGUCAACAAUCAGUUACUCACAGAACCAGGAUACCCAAAGAGCAAGUCCAAGAUUUGGAUGCAGUGUUUGUAACAGGGUGACCUGUACACAUUGAUUGGUUCAGUGUUGAAUAUCAGUCAGUCAUCUGGGGGGAAUCACAAAGGGGCCACUGAUGGAUAUAAUUUCAUGCAUGGAUACCUUUUGCUGGAUUCGUACAUUGGAUAGUUUUUACCAUGAAGAAGACCACAACUGAGAACGUCUCGACACAUUUGAUCUCUGAAUCUUAAGAAACAUCAGCAGGAGACAACUUUGAUUACGUAUUCCUAGGAUAGAUUCAGUGCUGGUUCUCCAGAGGGAAGAGGCCCAGUCAACAGGCUUCAACAAAGAAAAGGAAUUUGUUUCCCCUCGAUAUGUAAAGUCAUCUUUUAAUCUUAAAAAUGAAAGGUGGACGAUGGUUACUGGCAGUGGGAGGCAAACCACUGGAACAACCUCAGCAGUUCUCCAAAGAACAUUGGCAACCUGUUCGCCAUCAAACCUCGAUGCUGCAAUCACUUGGAAAAAUGGUGAGAUUUACUUGUGGAAGAAGGUCACUGAUCUGAAACAUGAACUUUAUUUCUAUCUCUCCACAGAUGCCACCUGACUUGUGGAAUGCUUCUGGCAAAUUCUCUUUUUAUGAAGCAAGAUUUACUUAUUCAUGGGGGAUAAAUACUGACGUGUCAACAGUCAGUUACUCACAGAAACAGGAUACCCAAAGAGCAAGUCCAAGAUUUGGAGGCAGUGUUUGUAACAGGGCGACCUGUACACAUUGAUUGGUUCAAUGUUGAAUAUCAGUCAGUCAUCUGGGGGGAAUCACAAAGGGGCCACUGAUGGAUAUAAUUUCAUGCAUGGAUACCUUUUGCUGGAUUCGUACAUUGGAUAGUUUUUACCAUGAAGAAGACCACAACUGAGAACAUCUCGACACGUUUGAUCUCUGAAUCUUAAGAAACAUCAGCAGGAGACAACUUUGAUUACGUAUUCCUAGGAUGGAUUCAGUGCUGGUUCUCCAAAGUGAAGAGGCCCAGUCAACAGGCUUCAACAAAGAAAAGGAAUUUGUUUCCCCUCGAUAUGUAAAGUCAUCUUUUAAUCUUAAAAAUGAAAGGUGGACGAUGGUUACUGGCAGUGGGAGGCAAACCACUGGAACAACCUCAGCAGUUCUCCAAAGAACAUUGGCAACCUGUUCACCAUCAAACCUCGAUGCUGCAAUCACUUGGAAAAAUGGUGAGAUUUACUUGUGGAAGAAGGUCACUGAUCUGAAACAUGAACUUUAUUUCUAUCUCUCCACAGAUGCUGCCUGACCUGUGGAAUGCUUCUAGCAAAUUCUCUUUUUACGAAGCAAGAUUUGCUUAUUCAUGGGGGAUAAAUACUGACAUGUCAACAAUCAGUUACUCACAGAAACAGGAUACCCAAAGAGCAAGUCCAAGAUUUGGAUGCAGUGUUUGUAACAGGACAACCUGUACACAUUGAUUGGUUCAAUGUUGAAUAUCAGUCAGUCAUCUGGGGGGAAUCACAAAGGGGCCACUGAUGGAUAUAAUUUCAUACAUGGAUACCUUUUGCUGGAUUCGUACAUUGGAUAGUUUUUAUACCGUGGGGAAGACCACAACUGAGAACGUCUCGACAUGUUUGAUCUCUGAAUCUUAACAAGCAUCAACAGGAGACAACUUUGAUCACGCAUUCCUAGGAUGGAUUCAGUGCUGGUUCUCCAGAGGGAAGAGGCCCAGUCAACAGGCUUCAACGUUUGGGACGAUGGUUACUGGCAGCAGGAAGCAAACCACUGAAACAACCUCAGCAGUUCUCCAAAGAAUAUCGGCAACCUGUUCACCAUCAAACCUCGAUGCUGCAAUCACUUGGAAAAAUGGUGAGAUUUACUUGUGGAAAAAAGUCACUGACCUGAAACAUGAACUUUAUUUCUAUCUCUCCACAGAUGCUGCCUGACCUGUGGACUGUUUCUAGCAAAUUCUCUUUUUAUGAAGCAAGAUUUACUUAUUCAUGGGGGAUAAAUGCUGACGUAUCAACAAUCAGUUACUCACAGAACCAGGAUACCCAAAGAGCAAGUCCAAGAUUUGGAGGCAGUGUUUGUAACAGGACAACCUGUACACAUUGAUUGGUUCAGUGUUGAAUAUCAGUCAGUCAUCUGGGGGGAAUCACAAAGGGGCCACUGAUGGAUAUAAUUUCAUGCAUGGAUACCUUUUGCUGGAUUCGUACAUUGGAUAGUUUUUACCAUGAAGAAGACCACAACUGAGAACGUCUUGACACGUUUGAUCUCUGAAUCUUAAGAAACAUCAGCAGGAGACAACUUUGAUUACGUCUUCCUAGGAUGGAUUCAGUGCCAAUACUCCAGAGGGAAGAGGCCCAGUCAACAGGCUUCAAUAAAGAAAAAGAAUUUGUUUCUCCUCGAUAUGUAAAGUCAUCAUUUUGUUGGAUCAUUAAAAAAGGAAAGCUGGGCACAGAGUGAUGUGCUGGUGCAGAAAGACCACAUGGGCAGUUCAUGACUGGAUCACUGGAGAUAGAGGGACACACAAGACACUGGAGCAGGGUAACACUUAAGCGUUGCUGGGCCUGAAUGACCUAAAGCCAUGGUAUUCAAUGUGCAGCCUGUACUUGUCUUUCCUGCAGCCUGCUUGCCACCUCUCCACCAUUCAUCGACUUUCCCACUCGCUCCAUCUUUCCCAUUUACCACCUCCCUCCCUGAUGCUCCCACUUGAUCCCUUGUUUUAGAUUCUCCCACAAGAGGAAACAUCCUCUCCACCUCCACCCUGUCAAGACUCCUCAGGAUCAUAUAUGUUUCAUUCAAGUCACCUCUUACUCUUCUAAACUCCAUUGGA